CAUAAAAGACAGGAAAUACCUUGUGCUGCCUUUUGGGAAAAGAGAAGAUACGGAGGUCAAGCAUAGUUCUACUAAAUGUGCUGAUAAAUCUUUUCAAUAGCAUUUUGUUUUUUGUUUUUCUUCCUCUCCCCAGCAGUGUGUUAUUGCCUGCAAAGCAGUGGGAAGAUCAAACAGCUUUUCAGCCAGCUGCUCAGCAUUGGUCACUGCCUUGCAAGAACAAUGAACCCAUCAGUGCGGCUGAACAUGACUGUACAUCACCCCACGGACGCAGAGUUAUUGUAUUUGUAUUGCUGACAUGAAAAAGAAAGGGAAUAAAAAAACAAACUCCAGGAAGACUUGGCUACGG
rnacentral:lncRNA from 1 species